rnacentral:snoRNA from 15 species
UAUGAUGCAUAAAUAUGAUUAUGAUUAACUAUGAUUUAAUUUAUCAUAAUACCAUCUUUCGGGACUGAUU